GCUCGUAGUCGGAUUUUGGGCGCGUGUGAACUGUCAGCCUCUGGUUGGACGGUGCGCGCGUGCCUUUCUGCUUGGGAGCCCCAUGGUGGUUAAUUCUGUCGUGGUGGGUCACAGGCCGUUUACUUUGAAAAAAUUAGAGUGUUCAAAGCAGGCUGUUGCUUGAAUAGAUUAGCAUGGAAUAAUGGAAUAGGACCUUGGUGCUAUUUCGUUGGUUAUGGGACUGGGGUAAUGAUUAAUAGGGACAGUUGGGGCCGUUCAUAUUUCGUUGUCAGAGGUGAAAUUCUUGGAUUUACGAACGAUGAACUUGUGCGAAAGCAUUCGGCAAGGAUGUUUUCAUUGAUCAAGAACGAAAGUUAGGGGAUCGAAGACGAUCAGAUACCGUCGUAGUCUUAACCAUAAACUAUGCCAACUAGGGAUCAUUGAGUGUCAAUUUACGACCUCAUUGGCACCUUGUGAGAAAUCAAAGUUUUUGGGUUCCGGGGGGAGUAUGGUCGCAAGGCUGAAACUUAAAGGAAUUGACGGAAGGGCACCACCAGGAGUGGAGCCUGCGGCUUAAUUUGACUCAACACGGGGAAACUUACCAGGUCCAGACAUAGUCANGAUGGACAGAUUGAAAGCUCUUUCUUGAUUCUAUGGGUGGUGGUGCAUGGCCGUUCUUAGUUGGUGGANUGAUUUGUCUGGUUAAUACCGUUAAC
rnacentral:rRNA from 1 species